rnacentral:rRNA from 1 species
UACAGAGGGUGCAAGCGUUAAUCGGAGUUACUGGGCGUAAAGGGCGCGUAGGCGGUCAUGCAAGUGAGAUGUGAAAUCCCCGGGCUUAACCUGGGAACUGCAUUUUAGACUGUGUGACUGGAGUACUGUAGAGGGCAGUGGAAUUUCCGGUGUAGCGGUGAAAUGCGUAGAGAUCGGAAGGAACACCAGUGGCGAAGGCGACUGUCUGGACAGAUACUGACGCUGAGGCGCGAAAGCGUGGGGAGCAAACAGG